UACGGGGGGAGCAAGCGUUGUUCGGAAUCACUGGGCGUAAAGGGCGUGUAGGCGGUUCGGUAAGUGAGAUGUGAAAUCCCCCGGCUUACCCGGGGACCUGCAUCUCAAACUGCUGAGCUUGAGUACAGCAGAGGGUGGGGGAAUUCCUGGUGUAGCGGUGAAAUGCGUAGAUAUCAGGAGGAACACCGGUGGCGAAGGCGCCCACCUGGGCUGCUACUGACGCUGAGGCGCGAAAGCUAGGGGAGCAAACGGG
rnacentral:rRNA from 1 species